GGCGGUGCAACAGCCCACUAGGCGCGAUUAUUUGGGCGAAAUGAAAAAAGUAUUCGCGCUUCAGGUUUUUCCAACCCCCCAAAAAAACCCUCAUCUUCAGAGUCUCGCAUAAUUGCAAAAUUAAGACUCAAACCCUAACCCCCUUAAACGUUUUCUCUCUCAUCUACAAUUCUAACUGCUCAAAAGUAGAGAUUCAAUCCUUAGCAUAAUAGUGUUGAAAUUCUUGUUGUCGUUACAAAAUUUUGGAUUCUUGCUCACAAUUGAACAAUUGAGGUAGAUCUUUGAGGCGGUGGCUGCAACGGUGGUAGCGGCAUCACGGGUUUGAUGAGUCGAUUGUUAGUAGACCUUCUUCGAUCUUGAUGAUUCAAUUACGGGAAGACGAAAGAUACCUCAAAUUGUGACUCUACAUUCACAUGAAGAUGUAGGUUGUCAGGUUGCUAUUGACGAAAUUGUUAGAACUCCAACGAAUAUGGUUGCAUCAAUAAGUCUAGAAGAACCAAUAAUGCAGAGAAUCCAGAGAGUAAAAUUGUUGAUGCUAAGUAUUGUUUUAUUAUUGUUUUCUAUUGAGGCUUGUUUUCUAAUAGUCAUUUUGUGUUACACAAAUCAAAUUAGUGACAAAUUUUACAUAUGUGUUAUAGACUAUCAAUGGAGAAGUACCGUCAAGAGCUAGGGUUUUCUUGGAUGCUCGUAAAGAACGUAAAAUUGUUCCAACGUCAAUGGAUGAAAAAUCAAAACAAGCUGUGGAAAUGAUAAAUGACAAUAAUCCAUGACCAGAUUAUUUUAAUCAAGUAGGGAGAAUUCGUCUAUAUUAUUCGAUCAUGAAGGUUUGAUGCUGAUUUUGGAAGCUAGUGAAGAGUACAAAUAGAUUUUGAAUUGAAUUUUUGAUCAUGUGUACUUUAUAAGUAGUAUGAAGUAUGUAUUAGAAAUUCGACAACAAGAAAAAUGUAAUGAGUAUUUUGUGUACUUUGGAUGAUGUAACUACAAUUAUGCAUAUAUAUAAAUAUAUAUUAUUAAUUAA